rnacentral:rRNA from 1 species
GACGAACGCUGGCGGCGUGCUUAACACAUGCAAGUCGAACGGAAAGGCCCGGCUUUUGUGGGGUGCUCGAGUGGCGAACGGGUGAGUAACACGUGAGUAACAUGCCCUUGACUUUGGGAUAACUUCAGGAAACUGGGGCGAAUACCGGAUAGGAGCUCCUGCUGCAUGGUGGGGGUUGGAAAGUUUCGGCGGUUGGGGAUGGACUCGCGGCUUAUCAGCUUGUUGGUGGGGUAGUGGCUUACCAAGGCUUUGACGGGUAGCCGGCCUGAGAGGGUGACCGGCCACAUUGGGACUGCGAUACGGCCCAGACUCCUACGGGAGGCAGCAGUGGGGAAUAUUGCACAAUGGGCCGAAGCCUGAUGCAGCAACGCCGCGUGCGGGAUGACGGCCUUCGGGUUGUAAACCGCUUUCGCCUGUGACGAAGCGUGAGUGACGGUAAUGGGUAAAGAAGCACCGGCUAACUACGUG